GAUGAACGCUGACAGAAUGCUUAACACAUGCAAGUCAACUGUGGCGGACGGGUGAGUAACGCGUAAAGAACUUGCCUCACGGAUAGGGACAACAUUUGGAAACGAAUGCUAAUACCUGAUACUGUGAGAGAGCUUUGCGUCCCAUUAGCUAGUUGGAGAGGUAACGGCUCACCAAGGCGAUGAGGGGUAGACGGCCUGAGAGGGUGAUCGGCCACAGGGGGACUGAGACACGGCCCUUACUCCGUGGGGAGGCAGCAGUGGGGAAUAUUGGACAAUGGACCAAAGUCUGAUCCAGCAAUUCUGUUUGCACGAUUAAGUUUUCGGAAUGUAAAGUGCUUUCAGUGGGGAAGCGGUACCAACAGAAGAAGCGACAGCUAAAUACGUGCCAGCAGCCGCGGUAAUAC
rnacentral:rRNA from 1 species